GAUGAACGCUGGCGGCGUGCCUAAUACAUGCAAGUCGAGCGAACAGACGAGGAGCUUGCUUCUCUGACGUUAGCGGCGGACGGGUGAGUAACACGUGGAUAACCUACCUAUAAGACUGGGAUAACCUCGGGAAACCGGAGCUAAUACCGGAUAAUAUAUUGAACCGUAUGGUUCAAUAGUGAAAGACGGUUUUGCUGUCACUUAUAGAUGGAUACGCGCCGCAUUAGCUAGUUGGUAAGGUAACGGCUUACCAAGGCAACGAUGCGUAGCCGACCGCGGAGGGGGAUCGGCGACACGGGAGCGGAGACAGGGACCAGGGGCCUACGAGAGGCACCAGACGCCAACGGGCCGCAGUAGUCGAAAAUAUUACAGAACGGGGGAGCGCCAGAGACAGCGACGUCCGGAUCGUAAUAAAGUGCUACGAGUGGUGAACCAAUGUGUGAGUAGCUAUAGCCGUCUUGACGGUACCUGAACAGGAAGCGACGGCUAACUACGUG
rnacentral:rRNA from 1 species